GCUGGGAUAGUUCAGUUGGUAGAGCAUGAGGCUCUUAAUCUCAGGCUUGUGGGUUUGAGCACCACGCUGGGCA